CGGCAAAGCACGGGAGGCGGCUCGGCAACGGCUGGACCAGGCGAGGAUGAUCGGUGAGGAGAGAGGGGAGGGGAUCGGGCAGGAGUAGAGAUGCGCUGGAGAAGAAUGGGAUCUAGGGGAUCAGGGUUGGCACCGCGCUAGGUCAGGGGAGGAGCCGGUUGGGCCUGGGCCGGCUCGGCAGGCUUGCUCCCUCUCUCCUCUAACUCUUUUGAUUUCAGAAAACCAGAAAAAAAAA
rnacentral:lncRNA from 1 species